GUGAACACGGAGCUUGCUCUGUGGGAUCAGUGGCGAACGGGUGAGUAACACGUGAGCAACCUGCCCCUGACUCUGGGAUAAGCGCUGGAAACGGCGUCUAAUACUGGAUAUGUGACGUGAUCGCAUGGUCUGCGUCUGGAAAGAAUUUCGGUUGGGGAUGGGCUCGCGGCCUAUCAGCUUGUUGGUGAGGUAAUGGCUCACCAAGGCGUCGACGGGUAGCCGGCCUGAGAGGGUGACCGGCCACACUGGGACUGAGACACGGCCCAGACUCCUACGGGAGGCAGCAGUGGGGAAUAUUGCACAAUGGGCGCAAGCCUGAUGCAGCAACGCCGCGUGAGGGAUGACGGCCUUCGGGUUGUAAACCUCUUUUAGCAGGGAAGAAGCGAAAGUGACGGUACCUGCAGAAAAAGCGCCGGCUAACUACGUGCCAGCAGCCGCGGU
rnacentral:rRNA from 1 species